AGUGAACGCUGGCGGUAGGCCUAACACAUGCAAGUCGAACGGCAGCACAGUAAGAGCUUGCUCUUACGGGUGGCGAGUGGCGGACGGGUGAGGAAUACAUCGGAAUCUACUUUUUCGUGGGGGAUAACGUAGGGAAACUUACGCUAAUACCGCAUACGACCUACGGGUGAAAGCAGGGGAUCUUCGGACCUUGCGCGAUUGAAUGAGCCGAUGUCGGAUUAGCUAGUUGGCGGGGUAAAGGCCCACCAAGGCGACGAUCCGUAGUUGGUCUGAGAGGAUGAUCAGCCACACUGGAACUGAGACACGGUCCAGACUCCUACGGGAGGCAGCAGUGGGGAAUAUUGGACAAUGGGCGCAAGCCUGAUCCAGCCAUACCGCGUGGGUGAAGAAGGCCUUCGGGUUGUAAAGCCCUUUUGUUGGGAAAGAAAAGCAGCAGGUUAAUACCCCGCUGUUCUGACGGUACCCAAAGAAUAAGCAUCGGCUAACUUCGUG
rnacentral:rRNA from 1 species